rnacentral:tRNA from 1 species
UGAAGCUCAGUGGCAGAGUGCUUGCCUAUCAUGCAAGAGGCUCUGGGUUCAAUCCCAGCA